CCUACGGGUGGCAGCAGUGAGGAAUAUUGGUCAAUGGACGCAAGUCUGAACCAGCCAUGCCGCGUGCAGGAAGACGGCUCCAUGCGUUGUAAACUUCUUUUGUCCGAGGGCAAAUUCCGACACGUGUAUCGGGCCGAAAGUAUCGUACGAAUAAGCAUCGGCUAACUCCGUGCCAGCAGCCGCGGUAAUACGGAGGAUUCAAGCGUUAUCCGGCUUUAUUGGGUUUAAAGGGUGCGUAGGCGGUGCGAUAAGUUAGCGGUGAAAUCCCGGGGCUCAACUCCGGCACUGCCUCUGAUACUGUCGGGCUAGAGAUGAGUCGCGGUAGGCGGAAUGUAUGGUGUAGCGGGGAAAUGCAUAGAGAUCAUACAGAACACCGAUUGCGAAGGCAGCUUACCGAACUACGACUGACGUUGAGGCACGAAAGCGUGGGGAGCGAACAGGAUUAGAUACCCCAGUAGUC
rnacentral:rRNA from 1 species